GCAGCCAUAACCCCUUCAUCUUCUCCUCUCUGCCUCAUGCAAGCACCAGAGAAGGUGCUCCCACAUCUCCUCCGCAUCGUCCACCAUGGACGCCCCCUUCUCUUCCCUCCAACUUCCUCUCCAUCCCUCUGCAACAAAAUGGAAAGCAAACACCGGUAUGAUUCUGUUCUGCCACUUCGUUCAUCAUAUCAGAGACCGAACAAACCAUCAGUGAAUGCCGUUGCUCCUAAUCCUUGCUGCAGGAAACCUGAAUUGAUGGAUCGCAGCCCAAUUCAUCAUCAUCCCGAAGCCUAAACUUGUUAUGAGAAAAGGAUGCCGUCGCUGCUGGUUUUGUACAAGGCAUGUUUAUCUCCAAGGCGGAAUCGCUGCUGCAAUUCGUUUUGCCGCUGCGCCCCUCAUUCCAAAACCGGAACACGUUGAUAAUGAUGUUGCCAUCCUCCUGUGUAGAGAGCACAUGGGCUGCAACCAUGGUGAGACAAUCAAAUCAUCACUGCUAUCUCUGCAAACGUGCUGUUGCUUCGAUCCUGGCGGCCAUGUUGAAACCAUCGCUGAUCCUCACUUGCAGCAAGGUCACCCUCUCUGUGUAUAUUUUUGUUGGGUGCUCCUUACUCUUCAUGUCUUUUAAAAUCCUCAUGUAUCACAGGAUUCUUCCUGCAGCGAAUUUCUCGCAGUCCCAACGAUCGGCAACUGCUAUGCCGACUUUGGUCAUCAUCGUCUCAUCGAGCACCUACGUGGUUGCUGCUAUCCCCAUGAACCUCAUAUUGAGAACUUCUCCCAUGUAUCUAUAUGUUUUGAUGUCACUCGCUGCAAGAUAUGUGCCAUAGUUCGAGUAUGAUUGAUCCAUGACAAUUUCUCCUACAAAAAUGUGUUGCUGUCUUUAUGGUCAGCUCUGAUGCCUCCUGUAGAAACAGCGUUUCUCACUGACCAUCACUCCAAUCAUUGAAUCCUUUGACCAUGAUA